UACGGAGGGCGCAAGCGUUGUUCGGAAUUAUUGGGCGUAAAGCGCGUGUAGGCGGUCCGGAAAGUUGGGUGUGAAAUCCCUUGGCUCAACUGAGGAAUUGCAUUCAAAACUACCGGACUUGAGUGCGGGAGAGGGAAGUGGAACUCCUAGUGUAGAGGUGAAAUUCGUAGAUAUUAGGAGGAACACCUGUGGCGAAGGCGGCUUCCUGGACCGACACUGACGCUGAGACGCGAAAGCGUGGGGAGCAAACAGGAUUAGAUACCCGAGUAGUCC
rnacentral:rRNA from 1 species